CUCUUACUGGCUACAAUAGGGGAUUUAACGUCAAGAGUAUGUCUGUUGAAGAUGGUCACCAUGGCAGUGUGGCUGGUGACAGAAAAGAUGGUCUACUAAUUAAAGUAUCUGGCUUCACUGCUCGGGAGAUUAUUCUGAGUCAUCCAGGCUAAAUCAGUGGUGGCUAUGCAGCCAUGCUGGGAUUGUCACAAUGCUUGCUAUGCAGCCAUGCUGUAUUGUCACAUUACUUGCUAAUUUUUUAGUUGAAGGAAAGGUUGCUCUAAGGAUACUAGCCCCAGAUUAUUGAAAUCUGCUGAAGCUUCCAUCAUUCAUAUGGUUCCUGGAUUCUCUAUCAUUCUCUGGUUCAUUUUACUAUUUACAAUAUGAGACAUAAGUUGUUGUGGGUAUCAUCAAUGCAGUGUACAAGAAAACUGCCUGAACUGGCAAGGUCACCAUGUCAGUCAAGAAAGCUCAUGAAAGUGAA
rnacentral:lncRNA from 1 species